rnacentral:lncRNA from 1 species
CACAAAUUAUGUAGCCAGUCAUGCCUGAGGGAGAGCACGUUUAUACACAAAGGACCUUCCUAUCUGGGAAACAGAACGCGAGGGUGGUGGAGCAGCCAGUCCAUCCUCCUCCCGGAAGCACCGCCGACAAAGGUGGAGAAACUGCAGAGGCCUCCUCUUGACUUUGGCCAGAUGGAAUCUGUGUUUCUGGAAGAGAUGAGAGAAAAAGAGCAGCCCUGAGCUCAACAGGUUGCAGGUCAAAGACUCUUCAGAAUCUGGUGAAAGCCAUGAACUUGCCCCAGGAAAAUGCAGCGCACACACACGCAUCCAGUUCUGCGCACAGUUUCAGGGGGGUUUGUUGACCCUCUGCAGCCCAUCCACGGACUUCCUAAGGGGCCAUGGACUCAGGCUUAGAAAUCCUUCCUCAAGGAAGCAUACAAUCAUCCACGGAAAAACACCAGAUCGGCAAUUUCAAAGGAACGUGGAAAUGAAGGCAGUCCUACAAUAACAAGCCACGAAGUGCUGUGGGAUUGCAGUGGACGGAGCAGUAACUCUCCAUCAGCAGGAGUAGGGAGCUCCCCUUGGAGGAGCUGGAACGGGCUGGCCCUGCAGGGCUCACACUGAGGGGGAAAGGCCCGCAGCUGGGGUGCAGUGUGGCUGCACAUCUGAGGUCCCCCCAAGCUAGAGAAGCAGCAGGUAACAGCCCCCAAAGACUCGGCCAGCCCAGAGAAUUCCAGAUUGUAGCUGCAAACAAAGACAUCACUCUCUGGAUGUCACUGGUGGGAAGGCGGGAAAGCUUAUUAGAGCAUCUGUUAGCUUUAUCCAAAGUUCUCAAGCUUCAGUGUGGCAGAAGUGCAGGGGAGGGAGCCCUGUUAAAAGUGUAGAAACAAGCCCUUCCCCCCCAGCCUAGGGCCCAGGACUCUGCAUUUUACAGCAGCCCAAGUGAUGCAGCUAAUCUGCAGAUCACACGUGUACGGCCGUCGAGUGGGGGAAAAGCUCCCACAGCCAGAGGACUUCAUCUGUCUGGGUUCCCCUUCUCCCUGGGAGCAAAUCACGGAGCCCCUACCCUGACGUGGCACAGACAUAAUCUCACCACCUCUCCCUGUGGGAGAGCCCAUCACCGCCAGGCCUGUGGGACGUGGGGCUCUGCAUGGAAAGCUCCAUGGCUGAGCCGUGUCCUGGGGUUAAAUCAUCAGCGAGUCCAGCUCACAACCCCAGCAAGAGAGCUGAGCGCAAAUCCGCCUGCAGGGGCCAGUGCGGAGCAGUCGGAACCUGCCAGUGGCCCCCGCAGCGAGUUUGGGCCAGAGCCUAAGUGUGACCGCGUGGAGGGGGAGCCUGAGGGCUGCCUCCUUCCUCUUCCAAGGUGAUGAAGAGACGAUGGUCUCGCAGCUCCACCCGCUGCCUGGUGACCAGAAAGGGCUGCCCUGCAGCCCGCCUUCUGCACCGUCCCUGCCCAGCUCAUUUCAGAGAAACUCGCCUGGAUUCUGCUCUGGACUCUUCCACACCACGCACUGGAGCCCCCGGCACCCUGGUCCAGAUCACGAGGUUAGAGUCAGACAGACGUGGCUUUACAUGCCUCUGCCACUGACCCCCUGGGUGACCUCGACAGGUUGCUUAAAGCUGAGCUGAAGUUUGCUUGUCUGUCAAAUGGGAGCAGUGCCCACACUUUCCUCUUAAGGUUGUGAGAAUUAGAUGAGAUAAGGUGCGUGAAGCGCUGAGCACAGGGCCUGACUCAGAGUCAAGAGCCGGUAGUUACUUUUAUUAUUAUCAUUGUCCCCUUCACAGCAGGGAAAGCUGUCCAGGCACUAACCCAGGAGGAGGCUCAAACGCGGGGGGCUACAACAUCACGGGUCCUGUAAGGGGACUGAGAAAGCUGUGUUCUCCACAGCUCCCCAGGACGACCCGCUUGGACAAGCUGCUUGGGGGUGGGGAGAGACCCUCGCCAAGGAAGAUGCGCAGUACAAGAGCCGUUUACUGAAGUGCCUUCCAAGGAGGAUGGUGUGGGCACAGGCGGGGCGUCUGGGGAGAGGGCUCAGGAACUUGGGGCAGGGCCCAAUCGCCCAGGAGAGUAAAGGACACACGGAGGCAGCUGCCGGCCUGCCCUCCUCUUCUUCCCUGUGUCCCUCAGGCAGGGCUCUCCUUCAAGCAAAUGUUGAACAAGGACUUAAGUAACACAAUGUGAAGGCAUUCUGAAUUACGAACAUGCCAGGGCCCCCCCAUAUCCCAGCCUGGCCCUCCUGCCUCCCCAAGGGCUUCUCUUAGGACCCCGAAGUGGGUAGGGGCAGGGAGUGGGGGACAAUGUUUUCAAGGCCCCACCCUUUGGCCAUCUUCUCUGAAUGUUCCCGUCUUGCUCUCUCAGGCUCUCUCUGGAGCAAGGCUUCUCAGAGCACGGCCUGGAGCCCUCUGCAAACGGCUUGCUCAGAUCCAGGACGAGAUAGCGCAGAAACUGUCAGCAAGCAUUUAGACACUUUCAAAGCAAUUCGACGGUCACUGUAUGUCAGUUGAAUCUAAUAAAAAAUCGGGGUUUGUAUUUUGGAUGUCUCUUGUUUAUUUCAUUUUUUUCCCCAGCCGUUCUUCUGUGUUAUAUUUUACAACAGAAAUGGCCCGUCAUUGAUUAGGAAUUAAAAAGAAAACAACUGGCCCUCAACCACAGAGAGUGGGAGAAGCUCUGCCCCAGGUGUCUUUCCAUCUUGGUCUCAGCAACCUUCAUGGCAACAUAUUGCAUUAAAACGUGCACAGGAGGUGCAAAACGCCCCACUCCCCGGACCUCAGCAACGCACCUCACCCUGGUCACCUCCCCCACCCCAGCUGUCCGGCUGGGAGCCUGCCUCCUCCACCAAGCCCUGCCUGCCAUCCAGCUCACAGCCCUCUCUCCUCCACUUCCUGUCUCCACCACUCAUUUGGCAAUUUAGCUAAUAAAAAACUAAUAAUAAUUGAGUGCAAGUCUCUGUGCUAUGGAGCUAGACAAGCAACUCCUCGAGCAGGUCUCUGCCGUGUGGCCUCUUGUGGCGACUGUUCAUUCAGCCUUUGCUGCCGACCCAGGACUGCUUGUGUGUGUGGAAUCCGGCACUCCGACCUUCGAGGCUCCAAGUCCACUGCCCACACUUCUCG